UCCCUCUCAAGGUUGCACCUGGAGAGUUUCCAGUACUCUACCAGUCUCGACUCUGGAAGGAAUAGUCAAGCAGAGGCCUAGCCAUUCCAUUCCUAGCUUGGGCAGUGGCUAGCGAGUGGAAGGCCAUCUGCUACAAGU